CCUACGGGAUGCAGCAGUGGGGAAUUUUGGACAAUGGGCGAAAGCCUGAUCCAGCCAUGCCGCGUGCAGGAUGAAGGCCUUCGGGUUGUAAACUGCUUUUGUACGGAACGAAACGGCCUUUUCUAAUAAAGAGGGCUAAUGACGGUACCGUAAGAAUAAGCACCGGCUAACUACGUGCCAGCAGCCGCGGUAAUACGUAGGGUGCAAGCGUUAAUCGGAAUUACUGGGCGUAAAGCGUGCGCAGGCGGUUAUGUAAGACAGUUGUGAAAUCCCCGGGCUCAACCUGGGAACUGCAUCUGUGACUGCAUAGCUAGAGUACGGUAGAGGGGGAUGGAAUUCCGCGUGUAGCAGUGAAAUGCGUAGAUAUGCGGAGGAACACCGAUGGCGAAGGCAAUCCCCUGGACCUGUACUGACGCUCAUGCACGAAAGCGUGGGGAGCAAACAGGAUUAGAUACCCUAGUAGUC
rnacentral:rRNA from 1 species